rnacentral:miRNA from 1 species
CAGGCUGUAAUAGAAAGGCU